AGCGAACGCUGGCGGCAGGCCUAACACAUGCAAGUCGAACGAACCUUUCGGGGUUAGUGGCUGACGGGUGAGUAACACGUGGGAACGUGCCUUUAGGUUCGGAAUAACUCAGGGAAACUUGUGCUAAUACCGAAUGUGCCCUUCGGGGGAAAGAUUUAUCGCCUUUAGAGCGGCCCGCGUCUGAUUAGCUAGUUGGUUGAGGUAAUGGCUCACCAAGGCGACGAUCAGUAGCUGGUCUGAGAGGAUGAUCAGCCACAUUGGGACUGAGACACGGCCCAAACUCCUACGGGAGGCAGCAGUGGGGAAUCUUGCGCAAUGGGCGAAAGCCUGACGCAGCCAUGCCGCGUGAAUGAUGAAGGUCUUAGGAUUGUAAAAUUCUUUCACCGGGGACGAUAAUGACGGUACCCGGAGAAGAAGCCCCGGCUAACUUCGUG
rnacentral:rRNA from 1 species